GGUUAAGCGACUAAGCGUACACGGUGGAUGCCCUGGCAGUCAGAGGCGAUGAAGGGCGUGCUAAUCUGCGAUAAGCGCCGGUAAGGUGAUAUGAACCGUUAUAACCGGCGAUACCCGAAUGGGGAAACCCAGUGUGACUCGUCACACUAUCAUUAACUGAAUCCAUAGGUUAAUGAGGCGAACCGGGGGAACUGAAACAUCUAAGUACCCCGAGGAAAAGAAAUCAACCGAGAUUCCCCCAGUAGCGGCGAGCGAACGGGGAGGAGCCCAGAGCCUGAAUCAGCAUGUGUGUUAGUGGAAGCGUCUGGAAAGGCGCGCGAUACAGGGUGACAGCCCCGUACACAAAAGCGCAUGUGCUGUGAGCUCGAUGAGUAGGGCGGGACACGUGGUAUCCUGUCUGAAUAUGGGGGGACCAUCCUCCAAGGCUAAAUACUCCUGACUGACCGAUAGUGAACCAGUACCGUGAGGGAAAGGCGAAAAGAACCCCGGCGAGGGGAGUGAAAAAGAACCUGAAACCGUGUACGUACAAGCAGUGGGAGCACAGGUUUACCUGUGUGACUGCGUACCUUUUGUAUAAUGGGUCAGCGACUUAUAUUCUGUAGCAAGGUUAACCGCAUAGGGGAGCCGGAGGGAAACCGAGUCUUAAUUGGGCGUUAAGUUGCAGGGUAUAGACCCGAAACCCGGUGAUCUAGCCAUGGGCAGGUUGAAGGUUGGGUAACACUAACUGGAGGACCGAACCGACUAAUGUUGAAAAAUUAGCGGAUGACCUGUGGCUGGGGGUGAAAGGCCAAUCAAACCGGGAGAUAGCUGGUUCUCCCCGAAAGCUAUUUAGGUAGCGCCUCGUGAAUUCAUCUCCGGGGGUAGAGCACUGUUUCGGCUAGGGGGCCAUCCCGGCUUACCAACCCGAUGCAAACUGCGAAUACCGGAGAAUGUUAUCACGGGAGACACACGGCGGGUGCUAACGUCCGUCGUGAAGAGGGAAACAACCCAGACCGCCAGCUAAGGUCCCAAAGUCAUGGUUAAGUGGGAAACGAUGUGGGAAGGCCCAGACAGCCAGGAUGUUGGCUUAGAAGCAGCCAUCAUUUAAAGAAAGCGUAAUAGCUCACUGGUCGAGUCGGCCUGCGCGGAAGAUGUAACGGGGCUAAACCAUGCACCGAAGCUGCGGCAGCGAACGUAUCACUUAAAGCGAUUCAGCGGGUUACGAUUGACGGAGCGAAGCGACGUCAAAGCGUAUACAAAGUCGAGUCGGUUUAAGGAUACGUUCGUUGGGUAGGGGAGCGUUCUGUAAGCCUGCGAAGGUGGCCUGUGAGGGUUGCUGGAGGUAUCAGAAGUGCGAAUGCUGACAUAAGUAACGAUAAAGCGGGUGAAAAGCCCGCUCGCCGGAAGACCAAGGGUUCCUGUCCAACGUUAAUCGGGGCAGGGUGAGUCGACCCCUAAGGCGAGGCCGAAAGGCGUAGUCGAUGGGAAACGGGUUAAUAUUCCCGUACUUGGUGUUACUGCGAAGGGGGGACGGAGAAGGCUAUGUUGGCCGGGCGACGGUUGUCCCGGUUUAAGCGUGUAGGUGUGUGUUCCAGGUAAAUCCGGUUCACUUUAACACUGAGGCGUGAUGACGAGGCACUACGGUGCUGAAGCAACAAAUGCCCUGCUUCCAGG
rnacentral:rRNA from 1 species